UACGAAGGGGGCUAGCGUUGCUCGGAAUUACUGGGCGUAAAGGGCGCGUAGGCGGAUGUUUAAGUCGGGGGUGAAAGCCCGGGGCUCAACCUCGGAACAGCCUUCGAUACUGGACAUCUUGAGUACGGGAGAGGUGAGUGGAACUCCGAGUGUAGAGGUGAAAUUCGUAGAUAUUCGGAAGAACACCAGUGGCGAAGGCGACUCACUGGCCCGUUACUGACGCUGAGGCGCGAAAGCGUGGGGAGCAAACAGG
rnacentral:rRNA from 1 species